UGUGGGCACUGUUACAGCUUGAAGCUGAGUCCACUAACUGGCCAAUGACCUCAUCAGUAUAGUGCGCUUCAUGAAAGGACAGAUUAAGCCUCUAACACCCCAAGGGGCUCUGGGCCAAUGACAAGAAUGUGAUAUUAAUCUCUGCUACAGGG
rnacentral:snoRNA from 1 species